rnacentral:rRNA from 1 species
UUAAGCGACUAAGCGUACACGGUGGAUGCCCUGGCAGUCAGAGGCGAUGAAGGACGUGCUAAUCUGCGAAAAGCGUCGGUAAGGUGAUAUGAACCGUUAUAACCGGCGAUGUCCGAAUGGGGAAACCCAGUGCAAUUCGUUGCACUAUCGUUAACUGAAUACAUAGGUUAACGAGGCGAACCGGGGGAACUGAAACAUCUAAGUACCCCGAGGAAAAGAAAUCAACCGAGAUUCCCCCAGUAGCGGCGAGCGAACGGGGAGCAGCCCAGAGUCUGAAUCAGCUUGUGUGUUAGUGGAACGGUCUGGAAAGUCCGACGGUACAGGGUGAUAGUCCCGUACACCAAAAUGCACAGGUUGUGAACUCGAAGAGUAGGGCGGGACACGUGGUAUCCUGUCUGAAUAUGGGGGGACCAUCCUCCAAGGCUAAAUACUCCUGACUGACCGAUAGUGAACCAGUACCGUGAGGGAAAGGCGAAAAGAACCCCGGCGAGGGGAGUGAAAAAGAACCUGAAACCGUGUACGUACAAGCAGUGGGAGCACCUUCGGGUGUGACUGCGUACCUUUUGUAUAAUGGGUCAGCGACUUAUAUUCUGUAGCAAGGUUAACCGUAUAGGGGAGCCGCAGGGAAACCGAGUCUUAACUGGGCGUUAAGUUGCAGGGUAUAGACCCGAAACCCGGUGAUCUAGCCAUGGGCAGGUUGAAGGUUGGGUAACACUAACUGGAGGACCGAACCGACUAAUGUUGAAAAAUUAGCGGAUGACUUGUGGCUGGGGGUGAAAGGCCAAUCAAACCGGGAGAUAGCUGGUUCUCCCCGAAAGCUAUUUAGGUAGCGCCUCGUGAACUCAUCUUCGGGGGUAGAGCACUGUUUCGGCUAGGGGGUCAUCCCGACUUACCAACCCGAUGCAAACUACGAAUACCGAAGAAUGUUAUCACGGGAGACACACGGCGGGUGCUAACGUCCGUCGUGAAGAGGGAAACAACCCAGACCGCCAGCUAAGGUCCCAAAGUCAUGGUUAAGUGGGAAACGAUGUGGGAAGGCACAGACAGCCAGGAUGUUGGCUUAGAAGCAGCCAUCAUUUAAAGAAAGCGUAAUAGCUCACUGGUCGAGUCGGCCUGCGCGGAAGAUGUAACGGGGCUAAACCAUGCACCGAAGCUGCGGCAGCGACACUAUGUGUUGUUGGGUAGGGGAGCGUUCUGUAAGCCUGCGAAGGUGACCUGUGAGGGUUGCUGGAGGUAUCAGAAGUGCGAAUGCUGACAUAAGUAACGAUAAAGCGGGUGAAAAGCCCGCUCGCCGGAAGACCAAGGGUUCCUGUCCAACGUUAAUCGGGGCAGGGUGAGUCGACCCCUAAGGCGAGGCCGAAAGGCGUAGUCGAUGGGAAACAGGUUAAUAUUCCUGUACUUGGUGUUACUGCGAAGGGGGGACGGAGAAGGCUAUGUUAGCCGGGCGACGGUUGUCCCGGUUUAAGCAUGUAGGCUGGUUGUCCAGGCAAAUCCGGAUAAUCAAGGCUGAGGUGUGAUGACGAGGCACUACGGUGCUGAAGUAACAAAUGCCCUGCUUCCAGGAAAAGCCUCUAAGCAUCAGGUAACAUCAAAUCGUACCCCAAACCGACACAGGUGGUCAGGUAGAGAAUACCAAGGCGCUUGAGAGAACUCGGGUGAAGGAACUAGGCAAAAUGGUGCCGUAACUUCGGGAGAAGGCACGCUGGUGUGUAGGUGAAGUCCCUGCGGAUGGAGCUGAGACCAGUCGAAGAUACCAGCUGGCUGCAACUGUUUAUUAAAAACACAGCACUGUGCAAACACGAAAGUGGACGUAUACGGUGUGACGCCUGCCCGGUGCCGGAAGGUUAAUUGAUGGGGUUAUCCGUAAGGAGAAGCUCUUGAUCGAAGCCCCGGUAAACGGCGGCCGUAACUAUAACGGUCCUAAGGUAGCGAAAUUCCUUGUCGGGUAAGUUCCGACCUGCACGAAUGGCGUAAUGAUGGCCAGGCUGUCUCCACCCGAGACUCAGUGAAAUUGAACUCGCUGUGAAGAUGCAGUGUACCCGCGGCAAGACGGAAAGACCCCGUGAACCUUUACUAUAGCUUGACACUGAACAUUGAGCCUUGAUGUGUAGGAUAGGUGGGAGGCUUUGAAGCGUGGACGCCAGUCUGCGUGGAGCCAACCUUGAAAUACCACCCUUUAAUGUUUGAUGUUCUAACGUUGGCCCCU